rnacentral:lncRNA from 1 species
ACAGGGAGGGAGAGCAGGAGCAGUGGCGCACCUCCCCUCAAACUCAGCGAUACACGCAGACGCACCACACACAGACCACACAUACACACACACACACACCACACACACCACACAUACACAUACACCACACACUGACCCUCCACACCACACACGCCGCACAGACCACACAUACACAUACACCACACACUGACCCUCCACACCACACACGCCGCAGAGACCACACAUACACACACACACCACACACACACACCACACACUGACCCUCCACACCACACACACGCCACACAGACCACACAUACACACACACGCCACACACACACACCACACACUGACCCCCCCACAACACACACACGCCACACAGACCACACAUACACACACACACCACACACACACACCACACACACCACACAUACACAUACACCACACACUGACCCUCCACACCACACACGCCGCACAGACAACACAUACACACACACCACACACACACACCACACACACACCACACAUACACACACACCACACACUGACCCUCCACACCACACACACGCCACACAGACCACACAUACACACACACACCACACACACACCACACAUACACACACACACCACACACACACACCACACACUGACACACGCACACAGGCCACACAUACACACACCACACACACACACACACCACACACCACACACACACACCACACACUGACCCUCCACACCACACACACGCCACACAGACCACACACACACACACACACACCACACACUGACCCCCCCACACCACACACAUGCCACACAGGCCACACAUACACACACACACACC